rnacentral:rRNA from 1 species
AUUGAACGCUGGCGGCAGGCCUAACACAUGCAAGUCGAACGAGUGGCGUACGGGUGAGCAAGGUCUGGGAAAGUGCCUGAGGGAGGGGGAUACCUACCGGAAACGGUAGCUAAUACCGCAUACCUUCGGCUCUGUCCAGAUGGGCUUAGCUAGUGGGUGGGGUAACGGCUUACCAAGGCGACGAUCCCUAGCUGGUCUGAGAGGAUGACCAGCCACAGUGGAACUGAGACACGGUCCAGACUCCUACGGGAGGCAGCAGUGGGGAAUAUUGCACAAUGGGCGAAAGCCUGAUACAGCCAUGCCGCGUGUGUGAAGAAGGCCUUCGGGUUGUAAAGCACUUUCAGCGGGGAGGCGUUACCCACAGAAGAAGCACCGGCUAACUCCGUGCCAGCAGCCGCGGUAAUUC